rnacentral:rRNA from 1 species
GACGAACGCUGGCGGCGUGCCUAAUACAUGCAAGUAGAACGCAGUUGCGAACGGGUGAGUAACGCGUAGGUAACUGCCUGGUAGCGGGGGAUAACUAUUGGAAACGAUAGCUAAUACCGCAUACUACCAGAUGGACCUGCGUUGUAUUAGCUAGUUGGUGAGGUAACGGCUCACCAAGGCAACGAUACAUAGCCGACCUGGGUGGGUGAUAGGCCACAAUGGGACCUGGAGACUGCCCAGGCUUCUACGGGGGGGAGCAGAAGGGAAUCGGCGGCAAUGGGGGGAACGCUGACCGAGCAACGCCGAGUGAGUGAAGAAGGUUUUCGGAUCGUAAAGCUCUGUUGGUAAGGAAGCGGUACUUAACCAGAAAGGGACGGCUAACUACGUGCCAGCAGCCGCGGUAAUAC